rnacentral:rRNA from 1 species
UACGUAGGGUGCAAGCGUUAAUCGGAAUUACUGGGCGUAAAGCGUGCGCAGGCGGUUUUGUAAGUCUGUCGUGAAAGCCCCGGGCUCAACCCGGGAAUUGCGAUGGAGACUGCAAGGCUAGAAUCUGGCAGAGGGGGGUAGAAUUCCACGUGUAGCAGUGAAAUGCGUAGAGAUGUGGAGGAACACCGAUGGCGAAGGCAGCCCCCUGGGUCAAGAUUGACGCUCAUGCACGAAAGCGUGGGGAGCAAACAGG